CCUACGGGUGGCCGCAGUGGGGGAUAUUGCACAAUGGGGGAAACCCUGAUGCAGCAACGCCGCGUGUGGGAAGAAGGUGUUCGGAUUGUCAACCACUGUACUUGGUGAAGCUAAUGACGGUAACAAAGGAGAACGCUCCGGCUAACUACGUGCCAGCCGCCGAGGUAAUACGUAGGGAGCAAGCGUUGUCCGGAUUUACUGGGUGUAACGGGUACGUGGGCGGUCUGGCAAGUCAGACGUGAAAGCAACAGGCUCAACCUGUGGACUGCGUUUGAUACUGUGGGGUUUGAGUGAAGUCGAGGUAGGCGGAAUUCCCGGUGUAGCGGUGAAAUGCGUAGAGAUCGGGAGGAACACCAGUGGCGAAGGCGGCCUACUGAGCUUUAACUGACGCUGAGGCACGAAAGCAUGGGUAGCAAACAGGAUUAGAUACCCCAGUAGUC
rnacentral:rRNA from 1 species